rnacentral:rRNA from 1 species
AUUGAACGCUGGCGGCAGGCCUAACACAUGCAAGUCGAGCGGCAGCGGAAGGAAGCUUGCUUUCUUGCCGGCGAGCGGCGGACGGGUGAGUAAGGUAUGGGGAUCUGGCCGAAGGCGGGGGAUAACCACUGGAAACGGUGGCUAAUACCGCAUAAUCUCUAAGGAGCAAAGUGGGGGACCGUUCAGGCCUCACACCUUCGGAUGAACCCAUAUGAGAUUAGCUAGUAGGUGGGGUAAUGGCUCACCUAGGCGACGAUCUCUAGCUGGUCUGAGAGGAUGAUCAGCCACACUGGGACUGAGACACGGCCCAGACUCCUACGGGAGGCAGCAGUGGGGAAUAUUGCACAAUGGGCGCAAGCCUGAUGCAGCCAUGCCGCGUGUAUGAAGAAGGCCUUCGGGUUGUAAAGUACUUUCAGUCGUGAGGAAGGUGUUAAGGUUAAUAACCUUAGCAAUUGACGUUAGCGACAGAAGAAGCACCGGCUAACUCCGUGCCAGCCGCCGCCGAA